rnacentral:lncRNA from 1 species
AAAGCAAGAAAAGCUACAUUCCUUGAUUAGUGGGGCAUUUCUACAUAGCAGUCCACAAGAGAAAAAACAAAAUUACCAAACCAUGAGCAAAAGUAAAAGGAAAUAAACAGAUAAAAUUCCAAACUUGGUCAUUGAGGGGGGAGGGGGGUCUAGACUGGUCCACACUAGGACAUGACACCUAAGGCUUAGAAGAGCUAGAGGGUUGGGUUUGUAGCCGAUUGAGCAUCUAUUGAAACAUUCCUUCAUUUUUCUCCUUCUCCUUAGCAAGUUUAGCUCUCAACCCAUUCCUUUCUCCCUCAAAUUCAGCAACUCUGGCCUGAAGCCUUGCUAUCUCAGCAUCCUUUGUCCCAACCUCCUUAGCCAAGGCUCUGACCAUGGUGUUCACAUAAGUCUUUACCAUAGAACCAGGUUCAACUAGGCCUGUACUGAACAGAUAAUCACAAGCUUGAAGGGUUCUGUUGCCAAAAUGCUCUUUGUUGGAAGCCAUUUCCCACCUUUUUAGGGGAACAUUCAAUCUUUCAAGCACAGUUGUCAAGACAAAUCCAUAGGGAAUGGCAUGAGCUUUUGAGCCAUUGAGCAUCCUUUCAAGAAGCUUCACAAUGAAGGCAGGCCAGUUGAUCUGCU